UACGUAGGGUCCGAGCGUUGUCCGGAAUUACUGGGCGUAAAGAGCUCGUAGGCGGUUUGUCGCGUCGGCCGUGAAAACUUGGGGCUUAACCCCAAGCUUGCGGUCGAUACGGGCAGACUUGAGUUCGGCAGGGGAGACUGGAAUUCCUGGUGUAGCGGUGAAAUGCGCAGAUAUCAGGAGGAACACCGGUGGCGAAGGCGGGUCUCUGGGCAAUUCCUGACGCUGAGGCGCGAAAGCGUGGGGAGCAAACGGG
rnacentral:rRNA from 1 species